GCUACUCAUCUGAGCGGCUGAGACGCCGCCGGCGCCACUUCUCACUUUAUCUUCUCCCCCACCAGGUCACCCACGACGCCGAAUCCCGCGGCGGCUGGCAUCUCCCGCAUCUCCGCCCGCGCCUUCUCACUGACCGUCGCGCCGUCGCUGGACUCGCUGCACGCAAGGAAGGAGAGGACCCGAGGAGGAAAUGGACCCGCCGUCGCCCAUCCAUCCGCCCAGCCCCCACCCACCUUCGAUUCUAGCUUCGGGUCUUCCACAUCGUCCCAACUGUCCACAUCGGCAACUCAGCGGGCGACCGUCGGUCCACCUCGGCAUCUCUGCAGCGUCUUCUCAAGUUCGCCACCGCGUCUUCCACGGCAGAAACUGAGCAAUCAGUCAACAUGGUUGGACCUGGUGGAGUUGGUGAUGUUGAGAUGACUGAAGAGGAGCUGCAAAGUUUAUGAGAAAGAAGAAAGAAAGAAAAGAGGAGCAUGAACAGAACAAGAAGGAAAUGGAUGAACGACCUAGAAGAAGGCAGAUGAAGAAAAGAUCACAGGUGUGGUAUCAAUUUUCGGAGGGGAUGAUAUUAUAAUGAUGUGAAUGAUACAGCCGGUGCCUGAAGUUGUGGUUAUAAUAGCAACAAUCAAAUGGAAAUAUGCGGACUGGACAACUCUGGAAGAGGAAGCUAAUAUUCCUUUAAAGUUGUGGAAGAUAUUGAUGUAUACAAAGUGGAUUUGAUAUGCAAGAUGAUGUAUCUGUAGUACUCUGUUUGAUACCGAUUACUAAGUUUGAAACUUGUUUAUGUAAA